CUACGGGAGGCAGCAGUGGGGAAUCUUGGACAAUGGGCGCAAGCCUGAUCCAGCCAUGCCGCGUGAGUGAAGAAGGCCCUAGGGUUGUAAAGCACUUUCGGCGGGGACGAUGAUGACGGUACCCGCAGAAGAAGCCCCGGCUAACUUCGUGCCAGCAGCCGCGGUAAUACGAAGGGGGCUAGCGUUGCUCGGAAUGACUGGGCGUAAAGGGCGCGUAGGCGGAUUGUACAGUCAGAUGUGAAAUUCCUGGGCUCAACCUGGGGGCUGCAUUUGAUACGUGCGAUCUUGAGUCCGGAAGAGGGUGGUGGAAUUCCCAGUGUAGAGGUGAAAUUCGUAGAUAUUGGGAAGAACACCGGUGGCGAAGGCGGCCACCUGGUCCGGAACUGACGCUGAGGCGCGAAAGCGUGGGGAGCAAACAGGAUUAGAAACCCUGGUAGUCC
rnacentral:rRNA from 1 species